AUGGACUUGCUAAAACCGAAUCCCGCACUCAUCCUGCAUCGUACAGAGACGUUAAUGGAGCUCUCACUCUCUUUCGGUGUAUUUGCGGCUCUUGAAGAGGCUGAACGAAGGGGGAAGUCAAGGACCCCGCACAUGCAGGCAGCGCUCAGCCAUGAGGAAAUACUCUUUUCACCCAGACAGAGGUUAUCCAGACAGGCUCAAUCUAUUCAGAUCACAUGAUGCUUCAUUUCAAUAUAGGUGAGCACAUGGUUAUAAUUCAUUUAUAUAUCAUUUAAUAUUGCAGCAAAUUUCCUGCCUCACUGCAUUUACCAACAACUUCAGUAUCUUCAGUCUUGUGGAUGCAUAAAUGUAUAAUGAAAAAAUUGCGAUAACAAAUUCAGUCUAACACAUUUUAAAGUUCUCAGAACAACCGAGUGUUCAAAUUGAAUAGAAAUUUUUCAUAGACUACCAGCUUCCACAUCAGUGGAAGCUGCAAAGCUCUUACACUUUAACUUGCCAUCACAUUUAAUCUGAAAUGUGCAGAAAUUUCUGCUGCAGCACUUUGAAAAGAACCUUAGCUCAGAACUUCAGUAUCUACAAUACAAGCCGUGUCUUAUGUGCUGACUAGCAGGCCCUUGGGCUGAGCAGUGACUGUGGAAGUUUAUGAAUGGAAUGUGCUGGAAUUCUCCUAAUGUUUACAGGUCAUUCAUGUGAAGUCGCAGACUGGGGUUUCUCCUUAGAAGCAGACAAUAGUGUUGCAGCAGGAAACACAUAUCUCCCUCGAGAGCUUCACGGCAUGCUCCCUCACCCUGAUGUAGCGCCACACACAAGAAAAUAAAAAAAUGGAGCAAAUUAGGAAGAGUUAAUAG
ensembl:lncRNA